UAGGCGCAAGGGAGGAGAAGACGUGUGCAUGUUUGCGAUUUAAAAUGGUACGAUAGCACAUACGAUUAAAAACUGUGCGAUUGAAUGUUGGGAGCAGUGGGAAAUAAAUACACAAACAUCCAGUUGUUGUUCUAUUUGACUCUUCCCCAUUUAUCAUCUAAUAGUUCCAACAAAACACCAGACCAGCAUCAAUCAUAAUCCAAACCAUCAAUGCUAACAAUAAUGAUAACUAACCGUGGUAAUAAAUAAAAUUCCAAAGGAAAACAAAGCAGUGGAAAGAAAGAAUAACUUCCCGAUCCCCUGGAAGCUUUUAUAAAUACACCAGCCACAAGUUGAAAAAGAACCGGAAAAAAAAAAAAUUACCCUCACUCAUGGUUAGAAGGAAAAGAAAAGUAUCCUCAUAUCUCAUUGCGUCAUCUCAAUAUCCCCAUCAGUCCCCACAUCUUCAUCAUCCGGAUACAUUGGAUCGUUGGCCACAAGAGUAGUAUCUGGCCGUGAUGAGUGCAUAACCAUCGGCGG
rnacentral:sRNA from 1 species